rnacentral:rRNA from 1 species
AACGAACGCUGGCGGCAUGCCUAACACAUGCAAGUCGAACGAGAUCUUCGGGUCUAGUGGCGCACGUGUGCGUAACGCGUGGGAAUCUGCCCUUUGGUUCGGAAUAACAGUUGGAAACGACUGCUAAUACCGGAUGAUGACGAAAGUCCAAAGAUUUAUCGCUAGAGGAUGAGCCCGCGUAGGAUUAGUUAGUUGGUGUGGUAAAGGCGCACCAAGGCGACGAUCCUUAGCUGGUCUGAGAGGAUGAUCAGCCACACUGGGACUGAGACACGGCCCAGACUCCUACGGGAGGCAGCAGUGGGGAAUAUUGGACAAUGGGCGAAAGCCUGAUCCAGCAAUGCCGCGUGAGUGAUGAAGGCCUUAGGGUUGUAAAGCUCUUUUACCCGGGAUGAUAACGACAGUACCGGGAGAAUAAGCUCCGGCUAACUCCGUGCCAGCCGCCGCAGUAA